UUCCCUCUCUAUUUUGGAAACUCCUGGAGCCCACCUUUGGAGGAGACAGCCAGAGGAGACAUUGGAUGUAGACCACUGGACUCCGAACCAUGGACCCCUCCCCCAGCCCCCAGGCAGCGUUUGCACCCAUCCUGCUGUUCUUCAGGAAGGAGGCUUGAUUCAGGUGGACAUACAUGUUUGAUGCGCUCCCAGUGACCCGUGCCUUCUGGUUUUAAUGCUGGGCUGUUCUGGCUCUACAAAGAGAACGGAAAACGGCUGGAGUCCGGGUCCUGUCAGGAAGUCCUCGCCCAACACAGUUUAACGGAAGAGGCUGCUUACAGAAGUGUGGCUGAGAUUCCACCUUCCAGAGUUCCAGUUCUGUUCCUGCGGCACUGCCGAGUGCGAUCGAAACUUCCGCGGCCUUUUGAGUGUCUUUCCAGCCUGCCUCUCUCCGCCGCGGUUUGCUGUCUGUUUCCACCUGCAUCCCAGCCAGCAGCUUCUCAGCUCACUCUUCCUAUCGUGUUUGCAAAUCUCAUCUCUUAGAGUUCAUGUUUUAAUUGAAAG